CCCACACAGAGAGGUGUUCAGGCAAGCGUGCUGAGUCCACCGGCUCCGAGGCCAGGGCUGGGGUACGUGAGUCGCCGGCAGGGGGCGCGCGCGAGCCUCUGGGCGGCGCAGGCGGGGCGGUUACUAGGCCGGGAGGGGCGCUGGGGGUAAUUUUUGGUUGGUUGCCUCAGGGUGCCGACCGCCCAAGCCCCUUUUAAACUUCGUCUCUCCAGCGCCCUCCCUUUUCCGACGCGGUGUGCGACUUGGUGAGUGUCUUCGGACCGGCCCGACGCCGGAACCGGCCACGUGGUCUGGGGUCUCUCUCUGGGUCCCUGUGCCCGCCUCGCCCGGGCGUCCAGGACGCGGGUUCGGCCUCAGCUUGGCGCCCCCUCGGGAGAGGCCCCCGAUCCCGGAGAAGGAGCCCCCGUGAGGGCUCCUCUGGGGUGAGGACGUCUUCGUGGAGUCGGGGACCCUUACUUCCUGGGAAGCACCCUUGUGGCGCCUUCCCCUGGCCCCCAGCCUACCGCGCCCCCGGUCCCCUCAUCUCUGGUGCCUGUGGCCUCGAUGCUCAAGGGCUCCAAGCCACUGGGAGUUUCAAGUGCCCUUUUCAAAGAAAAAAUAACUUUUGGAGAAUGCAGCUGCGGGGCGGAAGGCGCCCAACCGGGUCGGAGUCGGUGCUCUUGGCUCGCUCCGGGCUCCCGCCUGCCUAGUGUUACCAUGACCCCGACGUAACCAGUUUGGAAAAUGAGCCAGAUCGUGGAUCUGAGCGCUUUAACUUUGCGUGCGGAGCAGCUUAAUUAGUGUGCUAGCAACAAACGGCGGCAAUUGCUCUCUGACAGCCACUCCCCACAAAUGCCUUUCAGUUGCCACUUUGCAGGGUGGUUUGGCUUUUUGAAAGGUCUGGGGUUCGUCUUGCGGGGGCUGAUAACUGCUGUGAGUCCUGCCUGCAGUUUUCUGCCCCAGAUUCACCUUUCCUGGAGCGACCAGUACCGUAUGCAGCGCAGGACCCUCUUCCAACAUUUUCAGGGUGCGAAGCCCGUCAUGGUUUUCUGUCCCGGGAAAAAAUGAACCAUUGGGAUUCUGAUUUGUGUCCACCAAGACGCUGGCACCCAUGCUAUAGAAACGGUUGUUCUCCGGAUUUAGUAAACUUUGUAAAGAUCUAAAUUUAGAGUUGAGUGAAUGAAGGAAUCUUUGUAGAUAUCCUGAGUAUCACUUAGUAAUCUCUUGAAAUGUGAGGCUUCUGGGGGUUACAUGUUGGCCCGUAGAGUUAUGAAAGACCUUUUUACCUAUUAGGAAAUAACUGAUAUUACUGACCAGGAAACUGAAUGGGACAUCCCAUUUUAUCGUGCUUUUAAAGGGGCGGGGGGAGCAAGCUGUGCUGUAGGCAUCCCUUUUCCAGCCGUAUCUAUUACCCCAGAGCACAGGGACAGAUUUCCCUGUCCUGAGUCCCUCAGUCUGGUGACUAGCACUGCAACACGGGGAAAUGUAAUGGUCAGGCUUUGGUUUACAAUUGCUUUAUGUGGUGGGGGGUUCCUCUUGAGCCAAACUGUUUCAACAGUUCCAUGUGAGAGAGAAACACGGGCUGAGGGAGCCAGGCACCAUGACGAGGAAACAGCAGCUUGAGCCAGUGUCUAUUUAAGGGUAGUGGAAACUGAGCAAGUGCCGAGAACUGUUCUCAACUUGCUGGGCUCUGUCUGCUUCUGCGUGGUCAACAAGUUUCAGGCUUCCUUUGGUUUUUAAAUCUGUUUAGAGCUUGUUUUAGUGUUUCCUAGGUACAAACUGUUGCCAGUAACAUUUCAGGUUUUGUUUUGUUUUGUUUUUCUAAAAUUGAUACUGUUCCAUGCUAAUAUAAGGGUCAAGUUGGACAUGUCGUGGGUGCUGACAUUAUAUUACAUAGAAUUCCAGAUGAUAGGAACUUAAUUCACUGUUCUAUUUUACUCCUGGCUGGAAAUUACCAAGGAGAUUUCCCAAGUGUGAGGAAAUUUGGAGAAAGCCUUUAUAUGGGAAUUCUAUUCAAAGGUAGCUUUUUAGUCUUCGAGGUAACUAGUAGGUAACCACAAUAAAAGAUGCUCUUUACAUAACAAACAAACAAAAAAACCCAAAUCAUAAAGAGUUCAUUGAUAUUCUUAACGUUGUUCUUCUCACUUUUCUAUCAGGCACAGUCCAGUUCAAGAUGCUGAUGAACUUCAGGUCUGGUGCUCGAAAGACAAUCAUGGUGUUUGAAAGAAGCUUUUCAAGUAGAUACAGUGUAUUUGAACAUAUGGUGAUUGAAUAGAGGCUUUUGCUCUCUUUGUCCCUUUCAUGGUAGUAGCAGGGGUGAAUUUUGAGAAGGUGCCAAAUAUCUGUAAGAACAUAUAUCUACCAGCACCAUAGAGAAUUUUGUAGAAUUCUGUUCUAUUAUUUAGCCUUUCUGCCAACCAGCCCUAGCCUGAAGUUUGACAUAGUAACUAGACUAUUCUACAACUGUCUUAACAACACUGUCACUUGUGCCUUAAUUUGCAAAGAUUAUUUUUAAAUCCUAUUCCUUUGACUGCCCUAAAGAUACAUUUCAAAGCAUCCUUUUAAAAAUACAGUUUCAGGGGUGCCUAGGUGGCUCUCUCAGUUAAGCAUCCAACUUCAGCUCAGGUCAUGAUCUCAUAGUUCGUGGGUUCGAGCCCCACGUUGGGUUCUGUGCUGACAGCUCAGAGCCUGGAGCCUGCUUCAGAUUCUGUCUCUCCCUCUCUGUCUGCACCUCCCCCACUCACACUGUCUCAAAAAUCAAUAAAUGUUUAAAAAAGUUUUUUUUAAUAAAUAAAAAUAAUUUUAUAUGCAUACAAAUUUUUCCAUAAUACAUUAUUUCAGCGAUUAAAUUUGAUCCUUUUGACAGAAAACAGAUUAAUGGCUUAGUAACGAUCAGCAAGGGUAGGUUGCAAAGGGGCAUGAGUGAGUUUUGAAGAAGUGUUUUAUAUCUUUUUUUAAAACAUUUAUUUUUGAGAGAGAGACAGAGUGUGAGGGGGGAGGGGCACAGAGUGAGAGAGACACAGAAUCCCAAGCAGGCUCCAUGCUCUGAGCUGUCAGCACAGAGCCCAAUGCGGGGCUCGAACCCACAAACAUUGAGAUCAUGAUCUCACCUGAAGUCGGACACUUAACCAACUGAGCCCCGGAAGUGUUUUAUAUCUUAAUUAUGGUGGCACUCGCAUUUGUCAAAUUUCAGGGGUGUGUUUUGCUAAAUGUAAACUACACUUCAAUAAAUGUGAUUUUUAAAACUUAACUUUUCUGGCAUCUUAAUGACAUUUCCAGUGAAAUCUACGAAAAGAUGGUCUUGGGUCAGCACCUGAAUGAGUUAGGGAGGUGUUAAAAGUGGCAAAAACAUCAAAACAUUUUGGGGUGUAAGUCACAUAAGUGACUUGUGCACACAAUAUAAUACCUGAGAAAAUCAAAAGGUAUAUGUUGGUUCGCCUGUCAAGGAUAUAGAAUUUCUCCUUAUGGAUAUUCCAGACAACAACACAUUCCUUGUCUUAACAGCUGCAUUUUCAGUCUCACUGAGUCUGGCAUGGCACUUUGCCUUCAGUCUCUGGACUGUUCAUUCUUAGUGGCCCACAUGGAGUGUGGAAAUUGCUACCCUGUAUUUGCCCUGUAACCUGCUCGGCACCAUUUCAGGUUCCUGAUAGCCUUGCUUUCCACACUGGCAAUUUCCCAUUCCAAGAAAAUUUAGAAUGGCCUUGACUGAUAAAUGACUAGCCAAGGGAUUUGGGAAAUGAAGUGAGGUUCUAGCUGCUAAGUUAUUGGGCUUGGGUUGGUCUCAAAGCUUAAUGCCUAAGUCAUGCGGUUUACUCCUGAAAAAAACCAGUCUGAGCUCUCCCUUUUUCUCUGGGGAUGUUCAAGGACGCUUUUGAAAGGAAGGAUGGGCCGGGUUAUUGGUUGUGAGUCAUUGUUCUUUACUGUAGGUAAUAAUGAGGAGGUGUAAUCUCAGAGCCUGUUGCGCCCUGCCCUGAGACCACGUGUACUUCUGACAGCUGUUGCUGUGAUGUGUUGCCUGCAGGAAGAGCCAGCAAUGCUCUUCAGAUGCCAGGCUUGAGAACAUUCCCUGCUCUGUCUCCCCCAAACCCCCUCCAUGAUGACAACACAGUUGCCCAAUACCUUGGCUAAAUGAGUCUAGUAAAACCCAAAGAAGAUGGGCUGAGGAGCUGGAGCCUACCCCACAGUCCUGCAGAGUCACCUUGCCCUCCUUGGCACAGCACACACCUGCGUGUUGAGCACAGCUAAGACGGGCCGAGGCCAAUAGGACCGUUCUUCCAGCCAGUUUGUGCUCAAGUGCUCUGAGAAGUGAAGCAAGUCUGGAGUUGAAUGAAAUGUUUUCAAAGAGGGCUUAUUAACUCCAAGGGAGGAGGCUGGGCUUGAAGAGAAUCUUUCCUUAUGACUACAAAAGAAGAUGAGAUUGAAAUAUAACUUUAUGCCAAUCGUUAUGCUUUCACUGAAAAUGCAGUAUCUUAAGAACUCCAGUCGCUAUCCUCAGAUAUUACUUGCCCAAUAUCACAGUUACUCUGUUGUUCUUGUUGGUUCAGGUGGAUUCUUCCCUUGAGACAUUACUCUUAAGCAGUGAUUCUGCUGUCAAGCACUGAGCCCGCUUUGGAUCCUCUGUCUCCCCCCUCUCUCUCUGCCUCUUCCCCGCUGGUUCUCCAUCUCUAUCUCAAAAUAAACAAAU